UAGGGAAUCUUCCACAAUGGACGAAAGUCUGAUGGAGCAACGCCGCGUGAGUGAUGAAGGGUUUCGGCUCGUAAAACUCUGUUGUUGGAGAAGAACAGGUGAUAGAGCAACUGUUAUCAUCUUGACGGUAUCCAACCAGAAAGCCACGGCUAACUACGUGCCAGCAGCCGCGGUAAUACGUAGGUGGCAAGCGUUGUCCGGAUUUAUUGGGCGUAAAGCGAGCGCAGGCGGUUUUUUAGGUCUGAUGUGAAAGCCUUCGGCUUAACCGGAGAAGGGCAUCGGAAACCGGGAGACUUGAGUGCAGAAGAGGACAGUGGAACUCCAUGUGUAGCGGUGAAAUGCGUAGAUAUAUGGAAGAAUACCAGUGGCGAAGGCGGCUCUCUGGUCUGCAACUGACGCUGAGGCUCGAAAGCAUGGGUAGCGAACAGGAUUAGAUACCCUGGUAGUCCAUGCCGUAAACGAUGAGUGCUAAGUGUUGGGAGGCUUCCGCCUGCUCAGUGCUGCAGCUAACGCAUUAAGCACUCCGCCUGGGGAGUACGACCGCAAGGUUGAAAC
rnacentral:rRNA from 1 species